UCCCGAAAACUAGGGUUUUGAGGUUCUGAUCCCUCUGAUUUCCAGCCAUGGAAGGAGGCAACGCCCAAAAGUCGGAGAAGGCAAAGGCUGCUGGCAAGGGAAGCCAGCUAGAAUCAAACAAGUACGUGAGGCCAUUCCAGUGCAUCGUGUGCUUGCGGACAUUUACAUCAGAGGCGAAGUGCAAGGAACAUAAAGCAAAGCACACCUCCAAAUCUGAUGGUACUGCUUGAUUCCCCCAUCUCAAAAAUUGAACAAAUUGAUCAGAGAGAACAUCCUAGAGACAUGUCAAGAAAAUUAUCAUCUCAUAUUAAAGCUUUCUACUUUAAUUCCAAUGAGUCCUAACAAUCAUGUUUGCUCUCUGCGUAUUGUAUAAUUUGUGUGCUUGAGAGGGUGAGAGUGGUUGAUACUUGUUUCCUUUUGUUAAAGCAAAGCACAAUGUUUUAUUAUAUUAUGAACUAUCAAUGCCAUUGGUCAUGAAAGCUUGUUUAGUUAUAAUGCCCUCGAUUAUGAAUAUAAAUGCCCUUGCUUAUGUUGAAA